UACCGAAAACUAAUUACUUCCCGAAUUGUAUUUAAAACUAAAUUGAAAAAUUUUCGAUCUAUAUGAAAAAGAAUCGAAGGUAUAAUUCAAUCAUAUAGUAGGUUAAACAUACGUGGACAGUCCGGUAAGUACUUAACGGAUCCGUUGUCGAUGCGAUGGUGCCGUGUUUACUCAAUCCGAAGAAGAAUAACGAAUGUGAAACCACAUUAGGGCAGUGUUUAAGCGAAAUCCGAAGGAGUUUGUUAGUUAAUGAGGUUAGGUCGACCUGGAUGCAGAUCUGAAACGCGUGCGCUCCUGAAAGUGAAAAUUGACCGUGAAAAGCUCCCAAACUGAAAAAAAUGUUAACGUGCAUUCGAUCAAUUUUUCCGAUUAAACAAUAAGUUUAAUGUGUCGAAUAUUGUAGCUCAAGAAAAUUUUGACUUUGGUAAGAAAAAACAUACAAAAAAUAUCUUACUCAAAAUAGUAUUUAUAUUAUAAAAAAUAAAGAAAAAAAUUGAGUAUAUUUCAACACCCCAAGAUUUAAUAUGUAAUAAAAUACAUUGUCACUUCUACAUUUAAAAAAACAAAUGUUUUGAAUUUCAUUAGACCUUCUCAUAUUGUCUGGAAGAUCUGCAUUUUUUACCUCUUAGCAAUCCUUGACGACGAAAUGUUUUAAUUGAAUAUUAAUUAAAAAAACUUAUUUCAAUAUCACUAUUAAAUUGCUGUUGUCUUACAAAUUUUUCUCAAUAUUUUUACUUGAUUUUCUAACGCCGCUGGUAAAAACCAGACGUACAGUAAAGUAAAUAUUUUCAAUAAAAAACACAAGAGUCAAAUCGUUCACAUCUGGUUUGUACAUAAAACAAAUUUAUAACCUCCCAUUUAUUAGGGGGCUUCUAAAAAAUAGGUUUUUAUUCCGGUAAUAAAUGUUUAAUCACAGAUAAUUGAAGCUUAUAUUUAUGGGUUAUCGUUUAGUUCUAUUUGAGACAUGGGACAUCAUAUUGCAGGUAGCUUGGUGCCUUGAUUUUUUAUGAGUUUCAUUAAAUCUGAAGCAUUGUAGAUAUAUACACUACAUCAAAUUAAUUUCAGCACUGAUGUCAUGUUUAAUUAACAUGAAACCAAUAGACUAGAAAAACAAAAUAAAGUAGCCGUUAUUGCUUUGUAGUAUGAGAAAGUACUACUCAAAUUUAUUGUCAGAUAAUUCAUAGUGUUUUAAUUUUCUAUGUUUAAGAUUUCAAAAUUUUUUGGUAGAUUGCUAUAGCUACGUCGUUUGUAUUAAUGCUUGAUUCAAUACCACUUAAGCCUGUUAAUUUCGAGAAAACCCCAUUAACGUUGCAAUAUAAUGAUUAUGAAGAGAAAUGUUAGUUUUUACUACCAUCAAAAUUUAAUCAUGAUAUUUGUCAAUGUAUCCAUGGCGUUAUAUUUUCUUAGGGUAUGUUCUGUUCUAGUACAACAGUCUGCUUUUAGAGAAAAAGCUAACAUCCACAGAUAAACUGAAAAGUAUGAUGUUUAAAGUGAAGUUAGAAGAUGCGUAUUCAUAUAACAUAGUACUUAAUAACAAAUGAUAAUUAAAACACAGCUAAGAGAAAUAUGAAUUAUGAAAUGAGAUCACUGUACACAACAUAAAAUACUUGAGAUCUUGUAAAUACCAAUAUUAUGGAAGACAAUACACUUAAAUUACGUGAAAAUAUUAUUUGAUAGUAAACCUGUAAUAAGAAAUUUUUUAUUAAUCCAUUUUUCCAGAUGGGUUUUAGGGUGACUUUGUAUAUUAGUAGCUUAUUGUUGAUUGUUAGUUGAGAUCUUCGAUCUAUUAAACUAUAAUGAGUUUAAGUCCCAAUUGCUUUCUCUUGGUUAGUAUGUAUGUGCAAAUAAAUUCCAAAGUAUUUUUCAUUCUCUUUUUAAAUUUUGGUAUUUACUUAUUUUCUGAAAAGCUAAAAAGGUGUAUUUCAUUGUACUAGGAAUGUUUUUUUGCCUUAAUAUUUAACAGAGGUACAGCAGAAAUAAUUUCACUUCCUCUUAGAUUUCAAUAUUUUUCUUUUAUCCACGUCUUACAUUGUUUUUUCAGUAAAACUUCCAUUUUUUUUAAUAAAAUUCACAAUGGGUUAGUUUAGAAUCAAUUGAAAUGUAAUUAAUUGUACAUACAGGGUUGGGUAAAAGUAUCUCGUUUAUAGAUACCAAUUUUGAGGAUAUGUUGAAUAAUAACGUUGUUUUUUCAAUGUGUCUUUCGUUUUAUUAAAUCAAAUUCACAAUUCGUUAGUUUAAAACUGAUUCAAAUGUAAUUAAUUAUAUAUACAGAGUGGGGUAGAAGUAUUUCGUUUGUAGACGCCAAUUGUGAAAAUAUGUUAAAUAAUAACGUUGUUUUUUCAGUGUA